rnacentral:tRNA from 1 species
GCCCGGGUGGCGGAACUGGCAGACGCGCUGGACUCAAAAUCCAGUGGUAGCAAUACCGUGGAGGUUCAACUCCUCUCCCGGGCA